AUUGAACGCUGGCGGCAUGCCUUACAUAUGCAAGUCGAACGGUAACAGGUCUUCGGAUGCUGACGAGUGGCGAACGGGUGAGUAACGCGUGGGAACGUACCUUUUGCUUCGGAAUAGCCUCGGGAAACUGGGAGUAAUACCGAAUGUGCCCUACGGGGGAAAGAUUUAUCGGCAAAAGAUCGGCCCGCGUUGGAUUAGGUAGUUGGUGGGGUAAGGGCCUACAAAGCCGACGAUCCAUAGCUGGUCUGAGAGGAUGACCAGCCACACUGGGACUGAGACACGGCCCAGACUCCUACGGGAGGCAGCAGCGAGGAAUUUUGCACAAUCGACGAAAGUCGGAUGCAGCAACGCCGCGUGGGGGAAGAAGGCUCUCGAGUUGUAAACCCCUUUUGUGAGGGAAGAAGAUCUGACGGUACCUCACGAAUAAGUCACGGCUAACUACGUGCCAGCCGCCGCUGUAACAC
rnacentral:rRNA from 1 species